UCCGUAGGUGAACCUGCGGAAGGAUCAUUAUCAAUUUGCUAAUGUCAGGGCGCAAGCUCUGCACAUUUCCAAGCCCAUUUGACAACCCAAAAAACAUUAAGCUUCGGUAGCAGACCAGGCUGCCCAUUAAUUUGGUGUGUCCUGCGUUGUCAGCCUGCCGGUGGCACUCAUACCAAACUUUUUUAAAACUUUGUCUGAAAACCAAUCAUUUUCGAAUGAAAUUAAACUUUCAACAACGGAUCUCUUGGUUCCCGCAUCGAUGAAGAACGCAGCGAAACGCGAUAGUUAAUGUGAAUUGCAGAAUUCAGUGAAUCAUCGAGUCUUUGAACGCACAUUGCGCCCUUUGGUAUUCCGAAGGGCACGUCCGUUUGAGCGUCAUUUCAACCCCUUUCGCAUUAGGUUUUUGUUAACUGACUUGCGGUCAUGAGUUCUGCUAGACUCGGUUGCCUUUGCGGCAACCCAGGAUGGCUGGCUUUAAAGUUGAAAGCUCUGCGGGCCGCUUUGGUUCCCCUUGACAUAGUAAAACUUUUAUCUUGCCUUGAGGACCUCAGCCGGCACCGCCUGAACAACAAACCAAAUUUUCUCAAGUUUGAC
rnacentral:rRNA from 1 species